GCGGCAGUAGCUCAGUGGUAGAGCCCCAUGCUUCACAUGCGGGGAGACCUGAGUUCGAUUCCCGGCUGCUUCC
rnacentral:tRNA from 1 species